rnacentral:rRNA from 1 species
GAUGAACGCUAGCUACAGGCUUAACACAUGCAAGUCGAGGGGUAACGAGAGGAAAGCUUGCUUUCCUUGUCGACGACCGGCGCACGGGUGAGUAACGCGUACCCAACCUGCCCCCAACUAGGGAAUAACCUUGCGAAAGUAAGACUAAUACCCUAUAAUUUCCUCAGAUGUCAUCUGACGAGGAAUAAAGAUUUAUCGGUUGUGGAUGGGGAUGCGUCUGAUUAGCUUGUUGGCGGGGUAACGGCCCACCAAGGCAAGGAUCAGUAGGGGUUCUGAGAGGAAGUGCCCCCACAUUGGAACUGAGACACGGUCCAAACGCCUACGGGAGGCAGCAGUGAGGAAUAUUGGUCAAUGGGCGGAAGCCUGAACCAGCCAAGUAGCGUGCAGGAUGACGGCCCUAUGGGUUGUAAACUGCUUUUAUACAGGAAUAAAGUUAGCCACGUGUGGUUAUUUGUAGGUACUGUAUGAAUAAGGACCGGCUAAUUCCGUGCCAGCCGCCGCAGUAA